GAUGAACGCUGGCGGCGUGCCUAAUACAUGCAAGUCGAGCGAACGGACGAGGAGCUUGCUUCUCUGACGUUAGCGGCGGACGGGUGAGUAACACGUGGAUAACCUACCUAUAAGACUGGGAUAACUUCGGGAAACCGGAGCUAAUACCGGAUAAUAUUUUGAACCGCAUGGUUCAAUAGUGAAAGACGGUGUUGCUGUCACUUAUAGAUGGAUCCGCGCUGCAUUAGCUAGUUGGUAAGGUAACGGCUUACCAAGGCAACGAUGCAUAGCCGACCUGAGAGGGUGAUCGGCCACACUGGAACUGAGACACGGUCCAGACUCCUACGGGAGGCAGCAGUAGGGAAUCUUCCGCAAUGGGCGAAAGCCUGACGGAGCAACGCCGCGUGAGUGAUGAAGGUCUUCGGAUCGUAAAACUCUGUUAUUAGGGAAGAACAGAUGUGUAAGUAACUGUGCACAUCUUGACGGUACCUAAUCAGAAAGCCACGGCUAACUACGUG
rnacentral:rRNA from 1 species